GUAGGUGAACCUGCGGAAGGAUCAUUACUGAGUUUGAAAUUGAAAAAUUUCAUCUCCCACCCUUUGUUUAUAAGACCUGUUGCUUCGGCGAGAUUGAUGAUUUUAUUAUCAUCGGUUGAUUGAAUCUUUCAAUGAACUUUGCUUGCCGAAGUUUUUUAUAACUCUUUUUUCUUGAUAUUCGAGUUUAAAAACAAAAAAAUUAAAACUUUCAACAACGGAUCUCUUGGUUCUG
rnacentral:misc_RNA from 1 species